UAGGGAAUCUUCCGCAAUGGACGCAAGUCUGACGGAGCAACGCCGCGUGAGUGAAGAAGGAUUUCGGUUCGUAAAACUCUGUUGUUAGAGAAGAACAGCGCAUAGAGUAACUGUUAUGCGUGUGACGGUAUCUAACCAGAAAGCCACGGCUAACUACGUGCCAGCAGCCGCGGUAAUACGUAGGUGGCAAGCGUUGUCCGGAUUUAUUGGGCGUAAAGCGAGCGCAGGCGGUCAAUUAAGUCUGAUGUGAAAGCCCCCGGCACAACCGGGGAGGGUCAUUGGAAACUGGUGGACUUGAGUGCAGAAGAGGAGAGUGGAAUUCCAUGUGUAGCGGUGAAAUGCGUAGGUGUAUGGAGGAACACCAGUGGCGAAGGCGACUCUCUGGUCUGUAACUGACGCUGAGGCUCGAAAGCGUGGGUAGCAAACAGG
rnacentral:rRNA from 1 species